GCGGAUAUGGCGGAAUUGGUAGACGCGCUAGUUUCAGGUACUAGUGAUCGCACGGUCAUGGGGGUUCGAGUCCCUUUAUCCGCACCA
rnacentral:tRNA from 1 species